GUGGCUGAGACAACAGCUACCGGGUUUGGCGACCUGAUAAUGUUGGCGGACGAACCGCCGAUCUUGGCGGUAUUUUU
rnacentral:sRNA from 1 species